UCCUCGUUAGUGUAGUGGUGAGUAUUCCCCGCCUGUCACGCGGGAGACCGGGGUUCGAUUCCCCGACGGGGAG
rnacentral:tRNA from 1 species